ACCGGUGGUGGUGGCACAUGCCUAUAGUCCCAGCUACUCGGGAGGCUGAGGUGGAAGGAUCGCUUGAGCCCGGAAGUUCUGGGCUGUAGUGUGCUAUACCAGUCGGGUGUCCUCACUAAGUUUGGCAUCAAUAUGGUGACCUCCCGGGAGCGGAGGACCACCAGGUUGCCUAAGGAGGGGUGAACCAGCCUGGGUUGGAAACAGAGCAGGUCAAAACUCCUGUGCUGAUCAGUAGUGGGAUCACGCCUGUGAUUAGCCACUGCACUCCAGCCUGGGCAACAUAGCAAGACCCUGUCUCU
rnacentral:SRP_RNA from 1 species